UAAAAUGUUUUUAAUGCUGUUAAACUGAGAAAAAAAAUUACAUACAUUUAUACAAAUAUUCUCAUGUUCUAGGUAUAUUUUCUUAAGUUUAUCAAUGAGAAAUACGUCAUAAUACAAAGGCAAGUAUUGAAAAUAUAUUUUAGUUGGGCCUGAAUAAAACUCACAAUAUUGAACUAGAAAAACUGGUUGAAGUAAAUUGAGUUUUUGCAACAGUGACAGUUAAAAGCAAUAGCAUACAAAUACCGAGGGGAAUGUUCAAAUAACAGGAAACAACUUAAAAUUUAUUAGGCCUUUAAAAACAGCUCUCAUCCUGACAUUGAGCAUGUGCAGAUCUUUGUGUCAAUAUCUCGGUUAUCUGGCUCCAUGAUUGAGUUUGACAAGUUGAAAAAAUUGUCAUUACUGAAGAGACCACUUCAUUGUUUCUUCAUGUGCAAGCUAGAGGUUUGGAAAAAAAAAAGUAAUGAACACUGGAGAUUGAGGAAAAACCAAAGGUCUAGAUAUCCCUUUUCAAUAUUCUUUAAAGACAUUCUUUGCUAAGGCUACACCUCUCCUUUUAUCUACCUGUUCAUCUCUGGAUGAAUAACCCUUUAAAGUGUAUAUUCAAAUGAUCCCAAGUAUUGAGGUUUGAUUUCUUUUGUUAGAAAACAUGUAAUUUAUAAUUGCUACUUUAUAAUUUUCAAAGUUACUUUCUAGAAAAUAUCCCUUCCCCAGAAUCAAGUUAGCUUUGAAUUUAGUAAGCCUUCACUAUCCUAAUCUCUUCCUCACUUUGUCAUUGGUGCAGAUAGGUUAUCUUUUCUAAAUUCCACUGAUGUUACAGAAAAUCCUAUGCCUAACUGACAAAGCAAUUGGUGUGAGAGAUUCAAGUAAAAUAAAAGUAUGGCUGAUGGAAAAAACAAACUGCACCAUUGCUAUUUUUUAAAUGUCUUAAGAUUAUAAAUACAUGCUUUAAAAAAUUCAAAUAUAUAGAAAAAUACAAAGUGAAAGGCAAAAUUCCCUUUACCCUACCUAACUUCUAACCCUGUUUUAUGCAGCUGCACAGUUGGCUAUAGAAGCCACUAUAUAUAGCUUUGUAAAUUAAAACCAAAAUUAAAAAAAAAAAAAAACGCAGACUCUCACAUUAGCUAUAUUGCAGUUGCCUAAUUACCAAAUGGGACUAGAAGGCAUCGAAUUGGAGAGUGAAGACAGAGAACAUUUCCAUCAUCACAAAAGUCCCAUUGGACAGUUCCAUUGCUCCAUAGUAACCAUAGUUAAGUACUAGUGUAUAAAAGGCUUGUUACGAAUUCUUCAUGUAGUCUGGAUACAGGUCCCUUAUCAGAUAUGAUUUUCAAAUUUUCUCAUUUUGUGGGUUGUCUUUUCACUCUUGGUGGUGUCCCAUAAAGCACAAAAAAUUAAGUUUAGCUCAUUUUUUUCCCUUGUUGCUUGUACUUUGGGGGUUGUUAUCUAAGAAGCUGUUGUUUAGCUCCAGGUCAUGAAGAUUUACUUCUGUGUUUCCUUGUAAGAAUCUUAUAGUUUUAGCUAUUAUAUUUGGGUGUAUGAUCCAUUUUGAGUGAAAAUUUCUGUAUAAGGAAGGAGUCCUUUAGUAUGUGACUACCUAGUUGUUCUAGAACCAUUUGUUGAAAGACUACUCUUAUUAGAUGCCAUUAGCAACUUUACCGAGUAGCAGUUGAUCAUAAAGUGUAUGGGUUCGUUUUUGGACCAUUAUAUUUUAUAUUCCUUUGAUGUGUAUGUCUAUCCAUAUGCUAAUAACACUGUUUUGACUACUGUAGCUUUGUAAAAAACUUUGAAGUUGGUUAAGUGUGAAUCUUUCCACUCUGUUCUUUUUUCAAGAUCAUGUUGGAUACUGUGGGAUUCUUGUAUUUCUGUGUGAAUUUUAUCAUCAAUGUUUACAAAAAAGCCAGCUGGGAUUUUGAUGGGAAUUGCAUUGAAUCUGCAGAGCGAUGUGGGCAGUAUUGCCAUUUAAACAAUGUUAAAUCUUCCAAAAUGGAAAAAAAAAGUCUUUCCAUUUUUUCACAUCUCCUUUUAAUUUCUCAUGUUUCGCAGCUUUAUUUUAUUCAUCUAAUGCUAUUAUAAGCAGAAUUUUAAAAUCUCAAUUCUAGAAUGUUCAUUGCUAGCACAGAUAAACUUAUUUUUGUAUGUUGAUUUUGUAUCUAUCUUGCAACCUGGUGAACUCAUUAGUUUUAAAAUGAAUUCCUUAGUUUUUUAUAUAACGAGAUCACGUCAUCUGUGAAAUACAUUUAGUUUUCCUUCUUCUCCAGUAUGGUUACCCUUAUUUCAUUUUCUUGCCCAAUUGUCCUGGCUAAUGUCUGGAGUACAAUGUUGUAUAGAAGUGGUGAGAAUGAAUAUCCUUGUCUUAUUCCUGCUCUUAGGGGGAAAACAUUCAGUAUUUAGUCUAUUGCUCUUGAGAACGGUGUUAAGAUUUUUUUAUUUGUUUGUUUUUCUUGUGUAGAUGCCCUUUAUCAUCUUGAGGAAGUUCCCUUUUAUUCCUAGUUUGAGUAUUUUUAUCAUGAAAGGGUGCUGAAUUUUAUCAAAUGCUUUUUCUGCAUCUAUUAAUACAGUUAAGACAGUGUGGUCCUUUGGCUCUUUAUGAACAUGAUCCUCAUCAUUCAAGAUUCUGUUUUGUGAAUUUGCUCAUUAUUUAAAAUUUUUAACUCACAAAUCAAUACUUGCAGUGCUUUUAUGAUCAUCCAUGGACAUGUGCAGACUCAAUGAAAUUUAAGUUCCCUGAUGUCCAUGUUCUUAGCUGAGGUCAAACAAGGCAGUGUUUUGUCUUCUUGCUUUAGCACUCCUGCAGAGCUGACUAGAGGAUGGAGAAGGCAGGGGGAAAGGCUGUGUAAUGCAAGAAGCUCUGAUUCUGGGGCCAGGUGGAUGGGUCUGAAUCCCAACUCUGGCCUGUUGCUUGAGUGGCCUCAGGCAAGUCACUUCUGAACUUCAUUUGUCUUUUGUAAAAUAAACAGAAUCUACCAGGAUAAAAUGUUUUUAGGAUUUAAGAUUAUAAUCUAUUUAAUAUAUAUAAAACACACAUAUUUCCCCUAGGAGCAAUGGCUCUGUAUUCGCUAAUUCAGUAUUCAUAGUGAUAUUAUAGAUACAACUACUGUGAAUAAUGAAAAUAAUUUAUUUUUUGUCUUAAAAAGUGCCGCACCCACAGAAUAUGGAAGUUCCCAAGCUAGGGGUUGAAUCAGAGUUAUAGCUGCUGGCCUAUGCCACAGCCACAGCAAUACCAGAUCUGAGCUACAUCUGUGACCUGUACUCUCGGCAAUGCCAGAUCCUUAACACACUGAGCAAGGCCAGGGAUCGAACCCUCGUCCUCAUGGAUACUGGUCAGACUCAUAACCACUGAGCCACAACAGGAACUCCAAUAAUGAGCAUAAUUUACAUGUAACAUUGAAUUUUGGAUGUUAAACCAACAUUGCAUUCCUGGGAUGAAUCUCAGUUACGGUGUGUGACCCUUUUUAUAUGCUGCUAGCUGCUUUAGUAUGCGAGUAUUGUAUUGAUUUGUGCCCAUAUUCACAAUAAAUAUUGCCCUGCAUUUCCUUGCAAUGUCUUUGGUUUUGUAUUCGGGUGAUACUAGACUCAUAAGAUGAGUUGGUGUUUGCUUGCAAAGGAUUGGUGCUAUUUAUUUUUUAAAUUUUAAUUUUUUUGUUUUUUUAAGGCCACACCUGUGGCACAUGGAGGUUCCCAGAUAGGGGCAGAAUUGGAGCUGUAGCUGCUGGCCUAUACCACAGCAACGUGGGAUCUGAGCUGCACCUGGGACCUAUACCAGAGCUUAUGGCAACACUGGGUCCUUAACCAACUGAGGGAGGCUAGGGAUCAAACCUGUGUCCUUGUGUAUACUAGUCAGAUUUGUUACCAUUGAGCCAAUACAGGAACUCCCUAUUUCUUUAAAUGUCUGGUAGAAUAGAGCAGUGAAGAUAUCUGGGCCUGGGAUGUUUCUUUUUCUUUUUUUGGUCUUUUUGCCAUUUCUUAGGCCACUCCCUCGGGAUAUGGAGGUUCCCAGGCUAGGGAUCCAAUCGGAGCUGUAGCUACCGGCCUACGCCAGAGCCACAGCAAUGCGGGAUCUGAGCCUCGUUUGCAACCUACACCACAGCUCACGGCAAUGCCGGAUCCUCAACCAACUGAGCAAGGCCAGGGAUCGAACCAGCAACCUCAUGGUUCCUAGUCGAAUUCAUUAACCACUGAGCCACAAGAGGAACUCCUGGGAUUUUUCUUUAUGGAUUAUUUUAAAAUUAUUAAUUCAAUCUUUUUUAUUGCCAGCUGCCUUUAAACCUACUUUUUUGGUAGAACCAAAGGCAAUUAUCUCCUAAGGCCAGUAAAAUUCAGUGAGAAAAUAUGUUAUCAAGGAAGACAUGUCCAGUGUUUUUAAGAUGCAGGUAAAUGGCUACCAAGAUUAUCCUGUAGCAAAAUUAUACUGC
rnacentral:lncRNA from 1 species